rnacentral:tRNA from 1 species
CCGUUUGAAGCGUUUCGCGUUCCGCCUGGCCUGUCACGCCGGAGGUCGCGGGUUCGAGCCCCGUCACUCGCGCCA